rnacentral:rRNA from 1 species
GACGUAGGGCGCGAGCGUUGUCCGGAUUUAUUGGGCGUAAAGAGCUCGUAGGCGGCUUGUCGCGUCGUCCGUGAAAACCUGCGGCCCAACUGCAGGCUGGCGGUCGAUACGGGCAGGCUGGAGUUCGGUAGGGGAGACUGGAAUUCCUGGUGUAGCGGUGAAAUGCGCAGAUAUCAGGAGGAACACCGGUGGCGAAGGCGGGUCUCUGGGCCGAUACUGACGCUGAGGCGCGAAAGCUAGGGGAGCAAACGGG